UCAACACAAGCGGAAAGAUAAAAGUAGACAGAACACCAAAAAAAAGCAGUGACUGGAACUACAAGGAAUUCAGACAGCUAAUCAUGAGUGAACCAACCGUUAUUGUGACACAGGAAUAUUCAUACAAUGGAAAGCAGAACAAACAGAAAAAAAGAUGGCAAAAUCAUGGCAACCCUCAGGUCGUUCCAGAAGAUGAUGAAAACGAUAGAAAAAAAAGGGACCCUAAGAAGAAGAAGAAGAAUGAUAAAGGCGACCAUCAAAAUUCCAACCGCUUUUCAGAAAGCAAAAAUUUUAUACAAACCAUAGCAGACGUCUCGCUUAUGAUGGCAAAUAUUUCACAGUUAAGAGCAGUUUUAUUUUUAGGAAACAAAUACCAAUUUUAUAUUCACCUCCUAACACUAAUCGUUGUUUCGUUAGUGUCACACGUAUUGUUCGUUUUAUUCACUGUGAUUAGAUCGCAUUUUAAUUACAAACACCGUAUUGCAGUGAGCCGAGCAAAAGCAAAUGCAAUCAACAAGAAAUCAUUUAAGUUCUGCUGUUGUUGUAAAACAAAGUAUAGACGUACCGAAUUCAUUGACAGCGAUCUGUGUCAAUGUCCACAUUGCCGCACCGAUCUUUAUAUGCACUAUGUCUGUUACUUUCUAGUUUUCAUUACAAUUUGUGCUAAUAUUGGGAUAACAGGAAUUGGAAUUUCAGGAGACUGAUAGCCUAAGGAUUAAGUUAUUUUUAAAAUGACAAGGAUGUGAAGUGAACUGCUAUAUAUAAAAUGAUUGACCUCAAUCCUUAGUACCUGAAUGGUGUUUUGUUUAAGUUUUUACUUAUUAACUUUAUAAUGUUAUCAAAUUUUUUCCCCAGGCAACUUUUCUACUGAUGUAAAAUUCGACUCAUUAUCAUAAUAUAUCAAGAUGACUAAAAUCAUUAUUUAAAAAAACCUUUGUGUAUUUGUUGUGUCUGAAUUGCUUUUCUUGUUUUUAAACAAAGACCAUUGAAAAGCAAGGAUGGCUAUAUUUAUAAUUGUACACCUCAGAAAAUAUGUGAACUAAAUCGAAUGUCCAUAUCCACCUUAGGUCAACUAUGCCGGAGGUAUUUUGAAUUAUAUAUUCUCGAUUAUUUUAAUUUAUAGAGAAUUCAAGAAUUUCUGUACCAAUAAUCACGUCGACGCCGGAGCGGAAACUAAAAGUCCACUCAGUGCUAGAAAACGAAAUAACACUUAAUACAGUUCUCGGUACUAAAGCUUGAAGUAGUCAGUAUAUUAAAAUAAUCGGACUAACAUUCAUUAGGAGCACUCAUACUUAUAGCCAAAUUCGUAUUUUUCAAAUUAUUUAUUUUUUUGAUAACUGUAUUUAAAUGUUUGUUUACUGCAAUGUAUAUUAUUUCUAUUGUACAAUCAUAAGCAUAGUAUUUCUAUUCGUCAGUCAUUUUGUGAUAUCGAAUUCUCAUUCAUUAUUUCUUCUUUUGUAUUGUUUACUCUGUAGUGUGUUUACGUUUGCAUUUUUAAUGAUUAAAAGUUUAAGAAUUC